rnacentral:rRNA from 1 species
GACCGGCGCACGGGUGCGUAACGCGUAUAGAACCUACCUUUUACAGAGGAAUAGCCUUUAGAAAUGAAGAUUAAUGCCUCAUGGUAUUGUAGACUGGCAUCAGUUUAUAAUUAAAGAUUUAUCGGUAAAAGAUGGCUAUGCGUCCUAUUAGUUAGUUGGUAAGGUAACGGCUUACCAAGACAGCGAUAGGUAGGGGUCCUGAGAGGGAGAUCCCCCACACUGGUACUGAGACACGGACCAGACUCCUACGGGAGGCAGCAGUGAGGAAUAUUGGACAAUGGAGGAGACUCUGAUCCAGCCAUGCCGCGUGUAGGAAGAAUGCCCUAUGGGUUGUAAACUACUUUUAUACAGGAAGAAACACUGGUAUGUAUACCAGCUUGACGGUAC